rnacentral:misc_RNA from 1 species
AAGUUUAGCCAAACCAAAGUCUCCAACAACAGCCUCAAAUUCUUCAUCUAGCAAUAUAUUUGCAGCCUUCACAUCACGAUGGAUAAUCUUAGGGUCACAAUGAUCAUGCAAAUACGAUAAUCCCCUGGCAGACCCCAAAGCAAUACGUUUUCGCGUUGGCCAAUCAAGUGGUGGUUCAGAAGGCGGUCGUUCUCUCAGGCAUGAUGCAACACUUCCAUUCGCCAUGUAGGGGUAGACAAGCAGUCUUUCAGUUGGUGUCAUACAGAAACCACGCAAUCGUAGAAGAUUCCUAUGCACUGCCAUGCUAAUCAUCUCAACUUCUGUUUGAAAUUGCAACUCCCCUCCAGGAGUACGCUCUUCCUUUAGCCGCUUAACAGCCACCAAUGAUCCAUCUGCUAAGCGUCCUUUGUAUACCUUACCAAAUCCACCUCGACCCAGUAUAUUUUUAUUGCUAAAACUGUCAGUUGCAACUUGUAGCUCUCGGAGGGAGAACCUUUUCAGUUGACCUAAGUGAACUUCAGGAUCUUCUUCGGCUGGUACGUCAAAGAAAUAUUCUUGUGGCUUUCUACGGCGCCACCAGGCAAAUGCAAUGGCAGGAGCAGCAAAUAGUAGAGCAGCACCAGCAGCUACACCUCCAGCAAUUGCUCCAGUUGCACCAUUUCCUCCUGGAGCAGAAAUUGGUG